rnacentral:tRNA from 1 species
GGUGGCUCGGUGGUGGAGCACUCGCCUCGCAUGCGUGAGGCCCUGGGUUCGAAUCCCCAGCACCA